GACAGAGGUGCCAAGCGUUAGGCGGAAUCACUGGGCUUAAAGCGUGUGUAGGUGGACCUGUAAGUACCUUGUGAAAUCCCACGGCUUAACCGUGGAACUGCUCGGUAUACUGCGGGUCUUGAGGUGCCUAGGGGCGAGCGGAACAAAUGGUGGAGCGGUGAAAUGCGUAGAUAUCAUUUGGAACGCCAAUGGUGAAAACAGCUCGCUGGGGGCAUCCUGACACUGGAGACACGAAAGCCAGGGGAGCAAACGGG
rnacentral:rRNA from 1 species